CUUUGCUCAUAUUGCGCACAUGUGCUUUGAGUGCGAUAAAACAACUAAUGAGCUGCAAAAGACGGGUAAAAUUUUGUGGACCAUUGAAACGCUUGAUUCAAGAGUGAAGAUUUUUUGGAUCCGAGCGCUGUUGAAUGAAAAAAUGUGUGCCAUAUCAGUGUAU